rnacentral:rRNA from 1 species
UACGGAGGGGGCAAGCGUUAUUCGGAAUUAUUGGGCGUAAAGGGCGCGUAGGCGGCUAGAUGUGUCAAAGGUGAAAUCCCUCGGCUCAACUGAGGAACUGCCUUUGAAACUGUCUGGCUUGAGGCCGGGAGAGGGUAGCGGAAUUCCCAGUGUAGCGGUGAAAUGCGUAGAUAUUGGGAGGAACACCAGUGGCGAAGGCGGCUACCUGGACCGGUUCUGACGCUGAGGAGCGAAAGCGUGGGUAGCAAACAGG